CCAGGGCUUAAUUGACUGGUUGGUCCAAGAUGGUUCAUUCACAACUCUGGUGCCUUGGCAGGGACAGAUGGAAGGCUGGCACCAGCCAGGAUCUGGGACAGCUGAGCCACUUUCUCACCCUAUAUAGUCUCAGGUCUAAUCUCUUUACAUAUGACCUCUCCAUGUGGUAUUUCCAGCAGGGCAACUGGACCUCUUAAAUGGCAGGUUCCUCACAAAAGAAGAAGCUUCCAGGCUUCCUUAAGUCUUAGGCUCAGUAACUGACACAGUGUCACUUCCAUUUCAUUGUAUGAGUUAGUGAGUCUCAGGGCCAGUCCAGAGUCAAUAUGGGACUAGACUGCAUAGCAGCAUGAGAGGCAUGGUCUAUUGAGAGCCAUCUUGGGAAAGUGACUACUGCAUUGAUAUUCACUCUAUGGAAUGUGGAAAUGACACUUCAUAUGUUAAAUCAUGCUUUGUGGAAGAAAACGUGUUGCCUUAUUAGCUCUGUGAAUCAUCAAGAUGCAUAGAUAUUGGGAGCAUCUAGAAGCUACACAUAUCCAGUGAAUCUAAGUGUUUCAAAAACAUGAUCGGGACCUCUAGGGGGGGAAAUCACAUUUUAUUCAAUGGUUACAUACACAAGAAAUAAAGCUCGGUAAAUAGAUGGGUAAAUUUAAUAUUCUCAGUAUAGCAAGUUAGUAAUAUCAUGUAUUGGAUAUUUAUUAAGAAUAGGCACUGGGCCAUCAUUAUUUAUACAUGAUUUUACUUAAUCUUUACAAAUACUCAAUGGGGCGAGUAUUAUUACCUCAAAUUUCCACAUGAGAAACUAAAGUUCCAUGAGAUUUUGUAACUUGCCUAAGAUUGAACAUGUAGUAAUUGGAUGAGUUAAGAUGUAUUCCUAAGUUGACCUGAUAUUGAAACCCUUGCAUUUUUAAACUCUAUCAUUUUACUUGUUUUGUCUUUGCUCACUGUUUUCUUAAAUUGUUACAGAAUAAUCGUCCUUUUAAGUGGAAACAAGAGCCACAUCUCAUAUUCCCAUCUCUAAAGAUUUAGAACCCAUUUCCUACAUAGACAGCCCGCUGAAGUCAAGAUUUUAAAAUCCAGUUUUUAUCUUGGCAUGAUAGUCCAGACCAUUUCCCAGAGCUCUCAUAUCUACAAACAUAUGCCUCUGUGCUUAAACUUGAACUUCAUCCAAACCCCAAGGUUAUUAGUGAGUAAAAUCCUCCUUCUGGUUUUAUCUAGGUAUCUGGAAAGUUUCCCUUUGGCACUAGAGCCGUGAAUCACAACUUCUCAUUCGUGCCAUCUAAGGACAGAGAAAUGGAAUACCUGUGCUUGCAUUUUGUGGUAAUGUGAUUUUGGAAACGUCUCACCAAAAAUCAGAACUCGAGAAGAGAAUAAACAUACCGAUUACUUGCAUGGCCGGUUCCACGUCUGUUGUGGCCUCUUCCAACAAUGACAGCAGCUUGGCUGAUAUCUGAUGCACGGAUUCAAUGUUGCUAAACAAGCUAUCCACGUCCAGCCGAUCAAUCUGAAGAAACACAAACACUGAGCACCAGCUGAUGGAGAGAGACGCACUGUAUUUAGGACAUUUUCUCCUGCUAAACAGCUAACUUGUGUCUUCCUGGACUGAAAAGACAUGAAUCAGACGUAGAGAAAGAAAUCAUGGAGGAGGUACAAUACAGCAAAGAUAGUCUUCUCACCAAGAGGAAAAGACACGGACCGGAUGACUUCCCAAAGUUCUCUUCCACUCUAACUUGUACAUGUAUAAUAUUUAUUUACGUUGCCUCAGGUUUCUCAGCAUGGUUUGCAGAUCGUUCCCCUGGUUACAUAAACACUGUCUAUAUUAAUUUAUAAAUUUUGACACUAACUGGUGACAAGCGGUUUGUAUGCAAAGACUUUGGUAUUUAAACGGUUAGAAAGGAAGCGAGGACACGAAGGAGCUAAUGAACAUCGAAAAGGUGGCAAAUACACUCAUGGCAUAAAUUAACUACCUUGGCAUUCAUAGAUGUUUCGUCUGAAUUCCUGAGCAUCUAUUUAAAGUUUUUUGUUUUUUUUUAGAGAGAGA